UGGCGAGCGUUGUCCGGAUUUACUGGGCGUAAAGCGCGCGUAGGCGGCUUCUUAAGUGGGAUGUGAAAUCCUCGGGCUUAACCUGAGUGCUGCAUUCCAAACUGGGAAUCUAGAGUGCGGGAGGGGAGAGUGGAAUUCCUAGUGUAGCGGUGAAAUGCGUAGAGAUUAGGAAGAACACCAGUGGCGAAGGCGACUCUCUGGACUGUAACUGACGCUGAGGCUCGAAAGCGUGGGGAGCA
rnacentral:rRNA from 1 species